ACACACCCAUCAUCCAGCACACACACACCCAUCAUCCAGCACACACACACCCAUCAUCCAGCACUCACACACACAUCAUCCUGCACUCACACACACACAUCAUCCUGCACUCACACACACCCAUCAUCCAGCACUCACACACACACACAUCAUCCAGCACUCACACACAUCAUCCUGCACUCACACACACGUCAUCCAGCGCACUCACACACAUCAUCCAGCGCACAUGCAUUCAUUAUACACACUCUUCACUCACUACAAAC